rnacentral:rRNA from 1 species
ACAGCAGUAGCCACGGGAAUACGAAGGGUGCAAGCGUUAAUCGGAAUUACUGGGCGUAAAGCGCACGUAGGCGGCUUGGUAAGUUAGGGGUGAAAGCCCGGAGCUCAACUCCGGAAUUGCCUUUAAGACUGCCGAGCUAGUAGGUGAGAGAGGUAAGUGGAAUUCCGAGUGUAGAGGUGAAAUUCGUAGAUAUUCGGAAGAACACCAGUGGCGAAGGCGGCUUACUGGCUCAUUCUAGACGCUGAGGUGCGAAAGCGUGGGGAGCGAACAGGAUUAGAUACCCGCGUAGUCCCUGUCUCUUAUAC